UACGAAGGGUGCAAGCGUUACUCGGAAUUACUGGGCGUAAAGCGUGCGUAGGUGGUUCGUUAAGUCUGUCGUGAAAGCCCCGGGCUCAACCUGGGAAUGGCGAUGGAUACUGGCGAGCUAGAGUGCGGUAGAGGAGAGUGGAAUUCCCGGUGUAGAAGUGAAAUGCGUAGAGAUCGGGAGGAACAUCAGUUGCGAAGGCGGCUCUCUGGACCAGCACUGACACUGAGGCACGAAAGCGUGGGGAGCAAACAGG
rnacentral:rRNA from 1 species